GGGAACCGGAGUUCAUGCCCGAUAGGGUAGACCUCCCACCCUUGUGUAUUAUUACUUUGUUGCUUUGGCGAGCUGCCUUCGGGCCUUGUAUGCUCGCCAGAGAAUACCAAAACUCUUUUUAUUAAUGUCGUCUGAGUACUAUAUAAUAGUUAAAACUUUCAACAACGGAUCUCUUGGUUCUGGCAUCGAUGAAGAACGCAGCGAAAUGCGAUAAGUAAUGUGAAUUGCAGAAUUCAGUGAAUCAUCGAAUCUUUGAACGCACAUUGCGCCCCUUGGUAUUCCGGGGGGCAUGCCUGUUCGAGCGUCAUUUCAACCCUCAAGCUUAGCUUGGUAUUGAGUCUAUGUCAGUAAUGGCAGGCUCUAAAAUCAGUGGCGGCGCCGCUGGGUCCUGAACGUAGUAAUAUCUCUCGUUACAGGUUCUCGGUGUGCUUCUGCCAAAACCCAAAUUUUUCUAUGGUUGACCUCGGAUCAGGUAGGGAUACCCGCUGAACUUAAGCAUAUCAUAAGCCCGGAGGAAA
rnacentral:rRNA from 1 species